rnacentral:rRNA from 1 species
UACGUAGGGUGCAAGCGUUAUCCGGAAUUAUUGGGCGUAAAGAGCUCGUAGGCGGUUUGUCGCGUCUGCUGUGAAAACCCGAGGCUCAACCUCGGGCCUGCAGUGGGUACGGGCAGACUAGAGUGCGGUAGGGGAGAUUGGAAUUCCUGGUGUAGCGGUGGAAUGCGCAGAUAUCGGGAGGAACACCAGUGGCGAAGGCGGUUGCCUGGAGCUUUGCUGACGCUGAGGCGCGAAAGCGUGGGGAGCGAUCCGG